UCUUGUAUCCAGUGUAAUCUAUCGCGCUAGAGGUUGUUUAUCGUGUUUGAUAUUGGGUUUACUAUUUGCGGUUAGAAUAAACGAUUCGGAUUGAAAUUAUUAAUUGGGUUUGAAAUCAAGGGUUUACACUGGAGUUGUAAUAUACUGUAGGGAUACAGGUUAGAGUUGUAUUAUAGUCCAAAUAGAAGGAUACCGGUAACUGCUAUUCCGUGUAUUUAGUCACAUAAGUUAAGUUGUAUUUACUUUGGAUUAUAUUUUGUUGAAUUGAGUUGCCUGGAGAUCCUAAACAUUCGAAAACCGUUCCUUUACGUUCCUCAUACCCGGUAUCAAUAUUUACGUUACGUUCCAUUAACAACGUUCCGUUUCUCGUACCCGACAAGUUCUAUUUUCCUGAUUCAUGUUCGAGAUUUGAUUUGAAGUGUCUGUUGAUUGGUAUUAAAGAUAUUCACCGGU